AUACUUACCUGGACGGGGUGACUGAUCAAGAAGAGUCGUGGCCUAGGCUAGUGGUUCACAUUGCACUUGGUGGAUGUGCUGGCUUACCAUCUCCCCAAGUGAGAGAGUGGACGUCAUAAUUUGUGAUAGAGGGGGUACGCGUCCGCGCGGCCCCUGC
rnacentral:snRNA from 1 species